rnacentral:rRNA from 1 species
UACAGAGGGUGCGAGCGUUAAUCGGAAUUACUGGGCGUAAAGCGUGCGUAGACGGCUAUCUAAGUCGGGUGUGAAAGCCCCGGGCUCAACCUGGGAAUUGCAUUCGAGACUGAAUAGCUAGGGUGCGGUAGAGGGAAGCGGAAUUUCCGGUGUAGCGGUGAAAUGCGUAGAGAUCGGGAAGAACAUCGGUGGCGAAAGCGCUCUACUGGACCGCAACUGACACUCAGGGACGAAAGCUAGGGGAGCGAAUGGG